rnacentral:rRNA from 1 species
GGAUGAACGCUGGCGGCGUGCCUAAUACAUGCAAGUCGAGCGAACAGACGAGGAGCUUGCUCCUCUGACGUUAGCGGCGGACGGGUGAGUAACACGUGGAUAACCUACCUAUAAGACUGGGAUAACUUCGGGAAACCGGAGCUAAUACCGGAUAACAUGUUGAACCGCAUGGUUCAACAGUGAAAGACGGUCUUGCUGUCACUUAUAGAUGGAUCCGCGCCGCAUUAGCUAGUUGGUAAGGUAACGGCUUACCAAGGCAACGAUGCGUAGCCGACCUGAGAGGGUGAUCGGCCACACUGGAACUGAGACACGGUCCAGACUCCUACGGGAGGCAGCAGUAGGGAAUCUUCCGCAAUGGGCGAAAGCCUGACGGAGCAACGCCGCGUGAGUGAAGAAGGUCUUCGGAUCGUAAAACUCUGUUAUUAGGGAAGAACAAAUGUGUAAGUAACUAUGCACGUCUUGACGGUACCUAAUCAGAAAGCCACGGCUAACUACGUGCCAGCAGCCGCGGUAAUACGUAGGUGGCAAGCGUUAUCCGGAAUUAUUGGGCGUAAAGCGCGCGUAGGCGGUUUUUUAAGUCUGAUGUGAAAGCCCACGGCUCAACCGUGGAGGGUCAUUGGAAACUGGAAAACUUGAGUGCAGAAGAGGAAAGUGGAAUUCCAUGUGUAGCGGUGAAAUGCGCAGAGAUAUGGAGGAACACCAGUGGCGAAGGCGACUUUCUGGUCUGUAACUGACGCUGAUGUGCGAAAGCGUGGGGAUCAAACAGGAUUAGAUACCCUGGUAGUCCACGCCGUAAACGAUGAGUGCUAAGUGUUAGGGGGUUUCCGCCCCUUAGUGCUGCAGCUAACGCAUUAAGCACUCCGCC